CACAGUGAUGAGGAUGGACUGGCUCUAUGGUGACACUGCAGGGGUGGCUGGAUCUUUGUUCUGAGGGCUUAGGUUGGGGGGACUACUGGCCUCAUCAGGACCCCCCUCUCAACAGCCUGGACAGAGGCUCUCGCUCCUGAGAGCUGUGUGGCCACCAUCAUUCCCGGAGGGGCUCUGUUUUCAUCUUCUCUUAUCAGACUUUCCUGCCCAGUCCCCGAUCGCCAGUGAGGGAUCCUGGGCCUCGCAGCUGCUUCCCGUGGAGGGACACAGGCUCCUCAGAGAAGCAGGCUGAUCUUACUUUUCUCCGUAACCCAAGGCCUAGCAAAGCGCCAGCCCAUGUGUGGGCCUUGCAGGGCCUUGGAUAC